rnacentral:rRNA from 1 species
UACAGAGGGUGCAAGCGUUGUUCGGAAUUAUUGGGCGUAAAGGGCGCGUAGGCGGUGCCACAAGUCACCUGUGAAAUCUCCGGGCUUAACUCGGAGCCUGCAGGCGAAACUGUGGUGCUGGAGUGUGGGAGAGGUGCGUGGAAUUCCUGGUGUAGCGGUGAAAUGCGCAGAUAUCAGGAAGAACACCAAUGGCGAAGGCAGCUCUCUGGGACGGUACUGACACUGGAGACGCGAAAGCGUUGGGGAGCCGAACAGG